rnacentral:rRNA from 1 species
GAUGAACGCUGGCGGCGUGCCUAACACAUGCAAGUCGAGCGGACGGACGAUAAGCUCGCGCUCCUGCUGUUAGCGGCGGACGGGUGAGUAACGCGUGCAUCACCUUCUUCUUUGUCUGGGGUAACUUCGGGGGACCGGAUCUAAUACUAGCUCAUACUACGAACGGCAUGGUGCAAGAGUGAUUCAGGGCUUUGGUGUCACUUUUAGCCGGAUCCGCGCUGCCUUAGCUACUUGGUAAGGUAACGGCCUACCAAGGCGACGAUGCGUAGCCGAUCUGAGAGGGUGAUCAGCCACACUGGAACUGAGACACGGUCCAGACUCCUACGGGAGGCAGCAGUGGGGAAUCUUGCACAAUGGGCGCAAGCCUGACGGAGCAACGCCGCGUGGGUGAAGAAGGUCUUCGGGUCGUAAAACUCUUUUGUUGGGGAAGAACAGAUGCGUGAGUAACUGUGCAUGUCUUGACGGUACCUAAUCAAAAAGCAACGGCUAACUACGUG